UCCUACGGGAGGCAGCAGUAAGGAAUUUUCGGCAAUGGAGGAAACUCUGACCGAGCAACGCCGCGUGAACGAUGAAAUAUUUAGGUAUGUAAAGUUCUUUUAUUAAAGAAGAAAAAAUGAUGGAAAAAUCAUUCUGACGGUAUUUAAUGAAUAAGCCCCGGCUAACUAUGUGCCAGCAGCUGCGGUAAUACAUGGGGGGCAAGCGUUAUCCGGAUUUAUUGGGCGUAAAGGGUGUGUAGGCGGUUUAAUAAGUCUAUGGUAUAAGUUCAACGCUUAACGUUGUGAUGCUAUGGAAACUGUUUGACUAGAGUUGGAUAGAGGCAAGUGGAAUUCCAUGUGUAGCGGUAAAAUGCGUAAAUAUAUGGAGGAACACCAGUAGCGAAGGCGGCUUGCUGGGUCUUAACUGACGCUGAGGCACGAAAGCGUGGGGAGCAAACAGGAUUAGAUACCCUGGUAGUCCACGCCGUAAACGAUGAGUACUAAGUGUUGGGUUAAACCAGUGCUGAAGUUAACACAUUAAGUACUCCGCCUGAGUAGUACGUACGCAAGUAUGAAACUUAAAGGAAUUGACGGGACUCCGCACAAGCGGUGGAUCAUGUUGUUUAAUUCGAAGAUACACGAAAAACCUUACCAGGUCUUGACAUACUCUGCAAAGCUAUAGAAAUAUAGUGGAGGUUAUCAGGGAUACAGGUGGUGCAUGGUUGUCGUCAGCUCGUGUCGUGAGAUGUUGGGUUAAGUCCCGCA
rnacentral:rRNA from 1 species